rnacentral:rRNA from 1 species
GAGGAAAGAGGGGGGCGUGCUUAACACAUGCAAGUCGAACGGAAAGACCCUGCUUUUGUGGGGUGCUCGAUUGGCGAACGCGUGAGUAACACGUGAGUAACCUGCCCUUGACUUUGGGAUAACUUCAGGGAACUGGGGCGAAUACCGGAUAGGAUCUCCUGCUGCAUGGUGGGCGUUGGAAAGUUUCGGCGGUUGGGUAUGGACUCGCUGCUUAUCAGCUUGAUGGUGGGGUAGGGGCUGACCAAGGCUUUGACGGGUAGCCGGCCUGAGAGGGUGACCGGGCACCUGGGGACUAAGAGACGGAGCAGAAGGGUAUGGGAGGCAGCAGUGGGGAGUCUUGCGCAAUGGGCGGAAGCCUGAUGCAGCAGCGCUGCGAGCGGGAUGACGGCUUUCGGGUUGUGAACCGAUGUGGCCGGUGACGAAGCGUGAGUGACGGUAACGGGUCAAGAAGCACCGGCUAACUACGUG